rnacentral:rRNA from 1 species
GGUGAAGCCGCGAAAAGCUCAUUACAACAGCCAUAGUUUAUUGGAUCUUUACCUUCUUACACGGAUAACUGCGGUAAUUCUGGAGCUACUACGUGCAUUAAACGACGACCUUACGGAAGUCGUGCAUUUGUUAGACCAAACCAAUCGGUCUUCGGACCGCCAUUUGGUGAACUCUGAAUAACUUUGCUGAUCGCACAGUCUCGUACUGGCGACAAAUCUUUCAAGUGUCUGCCUUAUCAACUUUCGAUGGUAGUUUAUACGCCUACCAUGGUUGUAACGGGUAACGGAGAAUAAGGGUUCGACUCCGGAGAGGGAGCCUGAGAAACGGCUACCACAUCCAAGGAAGGCAGCAGGCGCGCAAAUUACCCACUCGCAGAACGCGGAGGUAGUGACGAAAAAUAACGAGGUGGCUCUCUACGAGGUCCGCCAUCGGAAUGGGUACAAUUUAAAUCCUUUAACGAGGAUCUAUUGGAGGGCAAGUCUGGUGCCAGCAGCCGCGGUAAUUCCAGCUCCAAUAGCGUAUAUUAAAGUUGUUGCGGUUAAAAAGCUCGUAGUUGGAUCUGCGUUCGGUGAAAGCGGUCGCCCGACGGGUUGUACUGCUUCUCCCGAACUAAUCAUUCGGUUUUCCCUUGAUGCUCUUCAUUGAGUGUCCUGGGUGACCGGAACUUUUACUUUGAAAAAAUUAGAGUGCUCAAAGCAGGCGAUUCGCCCGAAUAUUCGUGCAUGGAAUAAUGAAAAAGGUCCUUGUAGCCUUUUAUUGGUUAUUGCUAUGAGGAAAUGAUCGAAGGGGACAGACGGGGGCAUUUGUAUUGCGACGUUAGAGGUGAAAUUCUUGGAUCGUCGCAA